CCCUUAGACGUUCUGGGCCGCACGCGCGCUACACUGACCAGAGCAACAAGCAUCCGUCCUUGGCCGACAGGCCCGGGCAAUCUUUGAACGCUGGUCGUGAUGGGGAUAGACUUUUGCAAUUUUUGGUCUUCAACGAGGAAUUCCUAGUAAACGCAAGUCAUCAACUUGCAUUGAUUACGUCCCUGCCCUUUGUACACACCGCCCGUCGCACCUACCGAUUGAAUGGUCCGGUGAAGCCUCCGGAUUGGCGCGCACCUCGGUGCCGCCGAGAAGUUGGCUAAACCUUACCAUUUAGAGGAAGGUGAAGUCGUAACA
rnacentral:rRNA from 1 species